rnacentral:misc_RNA from 1 species
UGGUUCUGGCAUCGAUGAAGAACGCAGCGAAAUGCGAUAAGUAAUGUGAAUUGCAGAAUUCCGUGAAUCAUCGAAUCUUUGAACGCACAUUGCGCCCGCCAGUAUUCUGGCGGGCAUGCCUGUUCGAGCGUCAUUUCAACCCUCAAGCCCCCCGGGGCUUGGUGUUGGGGCUCGGCCCGCCCCUAGCGGCGCGCCGUCCCCGAAAUCUAGUGGCGGUCUCGCGAUAGCCUCCUCUGCGUAGUAGCAAUAUCUCGCACUGGAAACUUCGCAAGCCCACGCCGUUAAACCCCCCACUUCUGAAAGGUUGACCUCGGAUCAGGUAGGAAUACCCGCUGA